rnacentral:rRNA from 1 species
GAAAAGUCGUAACAGGUUCCGUAGGUGAACCUGCGGAAGGAUCAUUAU